CCUACGGGAGGCAGCAGUGGGGAAUAUUGGUCAAUGGGCGCAAGCCUGACCCAGCAACGCCGCGUGAAGGAAGAAGGCUUUCGGGUUGUAAACUUCUUUUGUCAGGGAAGAGUAGAAGACGGUACCUGACGAAUAAGCCACGGCUAACUACGUGCCAGCAGCCGCGGUAAUACGUAGGUGGCAAGCGUUGUCCGGAUUUACUGGGUGUAAAGGGCGUGUAGCCGGGUUGACAAGUCAGAUGUGAAAUCCUGCGGCUUAACCGCAGAACUGCAAUUGAAACUGUUGGUCUUGAGUACUGGAGAGGCAGACGGAAUUCGUAGUGUAGCGGUGAAAUGCGUAGAUAUUAGGAGGAACACCGGUUGCGAAGGCAGUCUACUAAACAGCAACUGACGGUGAGGCGCGAAAGCGUGGGGAGCAAACAGGAUUAGAUACCCCGGUAGUC
rnacentral:rRNA from 1 species